rnacentral:rRNA from 1 species
UACAGAGGGGGCGAGCGUUGUUCGGAAUUACUGGGCGUAAAGGGCGCGUAGGCGGCCAACUAAGUCAGACGUGAAAUCCCUCGGCUCAACCGGGGAACUGCGUCUGAUACUGGAUGGCUUGAAUUCGGGAGAGGGAUGCGGAAUUCCAGGUGUAGCGGUGAAAUGCGUAGAUAUCAUUUGGAACGCCAAUGGUGAAAACAGCUCGCUGGGGGUUUGC